UACAGAGGUCUCAAGCGUUGUUCGGAUUCAUUGGGCGUAAAGGGCGCGUAGGCGGCCACCGCAAGUCAAUUGUGAAAUCUCCGGGCUUAACUCGGAAAGGUCAACUGAUACUGCGGGGCUAGAGUGCGGAAGAGGCAACUGGAAUUCUCGGUGUAGCGGUGAAAUGCGUAGAUAUCGAGAGGAACACCAGUAGCGAAGGCGGCUCGCUGGGCCGUUCCUGACGCUGAGACGCGAAAGCGUGGGGAGCGAACAGG
rnacentral:rRNA from 1 species